AGUAUCGCCCCUGGCGAUGAAAAUCACCAUACAGUUAUUGUUGUUGUUGGCGGUGUAACCGGAAGUGCUGCCAUGUUGAGUCUCGUUCCAGUUCUCGCCUGGUACCCCUAGUACCGAUGCAGACCAGCUAUGCACACUGUAGUUGACGGCAGCUAUGGCAAUUGUCACGCCUGUCGACAACAUCGAGGUUUCCAUGUCUGAGACCGUACAUCGGUAUGCAGGCCGGCCUAAGCCCGAGGGAUUACAGCGUCAGCUAGACUCUCACCCUCUCACUGUGAUGAAAUGUUUUGGUUCAUGGUUAAAGUAAGCUGACUAAGCCACAAAAUCACUGGUCCCCUUUCUGGACACUGUACAUGUCACUCGGCGGGGACUAUGGUGGGCAGUUCGUCGUGAUGGAGCCAGAGAUGAAAAAAGAAAAAGAAGAAGAAAAAGAAAGAUGUAAAAGAAAACGGAAAUAUUGACAAAAAAGUUUUUUAUUUUUGCUUUCAGCCGCUCAAAGGUUAAAAAAAAAAAAACUCAAACACUCCAGAUGGCGUUUUUCGUCCUCCAGCACAUAGUGAGGCGCCCGAGUUUUAGUUUCAUAUUCAGCCUACAAAAUACUUGGAUGAGCAGCGGCGAAACAUGGCCAUCGUCAUUCAUCGCUUUCGCUCAGACCGCAGUGUUCAUGGCACUUUUGUAAAAUUUUCGCGUUCGUCCGCUGUGAGACGUUGGAUGCAUUCUCCUUGUGCGCCAACCCCAAGAAAAAGGUUAGACACGUCUCUGCCGAAGGGACCCGUCGCCGUCUGGGGAGCAAUCUCUCACUGCACUUCUCUCCACCGCCAUCUUGAUUGUUUUGAACACGGGAUUCGUACGCUUUGCAUCAUAACUUUGCACUGAGAUGCUCAAUCCCUUUGAAACAUAUACCAGGGGUCUUCAGAGCUUUAUAUGUAAACGACACAAUGUCCCACUUGCAUUGAAUAAUGGUAGGACCUCGGCACGCUGGCACGGGUGGAGUUUUAUUGGGGAACACACUGUAUAUACAUGUCAAUAAACAAGUUGCAGGCUGUA